ACACAUGCAGUCGAACGAGAGAAGAGAAGCUUGCUUUUCUGAUCUAGUGGCGGACGGGUGAGUAACACGUGAGCAAUCUGCCUUUCAGAGGGGGAUACCGAUUGGAAACGAUCGUUAAUACCGCAUAAUAUAAUUGAACCGCAUGAUUUGAUUAUCAAAGAUUUAUCGCUGAAAGAUGAGCUCGCGUCUGAUUAGCUAGUUGGUAAGGUAACGGCUUACCAAGGCGACGAUCAGUAGCCGGACUGAGAGGUUGAUCGGCCACAUUGGGACUGAGACACGGCCCAGACUCCUACGGGAGGCAGCAGUGGGGAAUAUUGCACAAUGGAGGAAACUCUGAUGCAGCGAUGCCGCGUGAGGGAAGGAGGUUUUAGGAUUGUAAACCUCUGUCUUCAGGGACGAAAAAAGACGGUACCUGAGGAGGAAGCUCCGGCUAACUACGUGCCAGCAGCCGCGGUAAUACGUAGGGAGCGAGCGUUGUCCGGAAUUACUGGGUGUAAAGGGAGCGUAGGCGGGAUCGCAAGUCAGAUGUGAAAACUAUGGGCUUAACCCAUAAACUGCAUUUGAAACUGUGGUUCUUGAGUGAAGUAGAGGUAAGCGGAAUUCCUAGUGUAGCGGUGAAAUGCGUAGAUAUUAGGAGGAACAUCAGUGGCGAAGGCGGCUUACUGGGCUUUAACUGACGCUGAGGCUCGAAAGCGUGGGGAGCAAACAGGAUUAGAUACCCUGGUAGUCCACGCCGUAGACGAUGAUUACUAGGUGUGGGGGGACUGACCCCUUCCGUGCCGCAGCAAACGCAAUAAGUAAUCCACCUGGGGAGUACGACCGCAAGGUUGAAACUCAGAGGAAUUGACGGGGGCCCGCA
rnacentral:rRNA from 1 species